AACGAACGCUGGCGGCAUGCCUAACACAUGCAAGUCGAACGAGACCUUCGGGUCUAGUGGCGCACGGGUUCGUAACGCGUGGGAACCUUCCCUUAUGUUCGGAAUAACUCCCCGAAAGGGGUGCUAAUACCGGAUAAUGUCUUCGGACCAAAGAUUUAUCGCCUUUGGAUGGGCCCGCGUUGGAUUAGCUCGUUGGGAGGGUAAAAGCCUACCAAGGCGACGAUUCACAGCUGGGAUGAGAGGAUGAUCAGCCACACUGGGACUGAGAAACGGCCCAGACUCUUACGGGAGGGAGCAGUGGGGAAUAUUGGAAAAUGGGCGAAAGCCUGAUGCAGCAAGGACGGGUGAGUGAUGAAGGCCUUAGGGUUGUAAAGCUCUUUUACCCGUGAUGAUAAUGACAGUACCGGGAGAAUAAGCCCCGGCUAACUACGUG
rnacentral:rRNA from 1 species